UACGUAGGGUGCAAGCGUUAAUCGGAAUUACUGGGCGUAAAGCGUGCGCAGGCGGUUAUGUAAGACAGAUGUGAAAUGCCCGGGCUUAACCUGGGAACUGCAUUUGUGACUGCAUGGCUAGAGUUUGGCAGAGGGGGGUAGAAUUCCACGUGUAGCAGUGAAAUGCGUAGAUAUGUGGAGGAACACCGAUGGCGAAGGCAGCCCCCUGGGUCAAGACUG
rnacentral:rRNA from 1 species